GUUCUUUGGCAGCACAUAUACUAAAAUUGAAACGAUACAGAGAAGAUUAGCAUAGCCCCUGCACAAGGAUAGCAAGCAAAUUCGUGAAGCAUUCCGGAUUUUU
ensembl:snRNA U6 U6 spliceosomal RNA